GUUAACAUGGAAGAAAUAGUCAUACAAUAGUCAUUGUAUGGUUGGGACAAAGUGACACUCACUAAUAACCCUGUUGGAGAGAUGGAGCUAGAUUGGAGUGCUGAUAGUCCAGGUUGAGUGUUUCAGCACAUUUUAAGAUGAAUCAUUGGGAGUAGAAUGACUUUGUGUGAAGCAGCAAUGGAAGGAGUAUUUGUCUACGAAUACCGAAAACACUCAAAUCACUUAGAAGUGAUUUUGAUAACCAACAUGACAGCUGGAGUCAUGGAAGAUAAUUUAUUUUACCCAAGGACUUCUCUUCUAAUGCAUAGGUUCCAUGACUCCGAUAUGAAAUGUGGAGAGAGGAAUCCGAGUCUACCAAGAUGUCUUCUGAACUCUACAUGCCUGCUGUGGCAUGCAUUCCUGCACACCACACACACACACACACCCCACAUUCAAACAUUCCCUAGUUGUCCCAGAUCUUUCCUCUUUGCCAUGGCAAGGUGGAUGAGGGAAAGAAUCAGCAACCCUUGUUCUUAGCUAACGGCAGGCCACUAGAGCUGACCAAGAAAUAAUGAGCAAAGAAUGAAAUACAGUACAUUACUAAUUGUUCCAAAACUUGGUGGGAAAUUGCCAUAUAACUCAAGAAGAUAAAUGUCUCUUGGAAUUGUUUUGCUUGGAGAAGCCAUAAAGAAGCAAAAUAGGAUGGCAUCAGACUACAGAGAGUAAGUCUGCAUGACUAUAAACAUAUACGCAUAUGGGCAAGGCAGGAAAACCAGAAGUGACGUCUGGCCUGGUAAGAGUCAGGCUCCUAGGGAAAUAUAACUAUAGUGGAUAGUGAGAGUGGAUAGUGGUCAUUUAAAAUACCAUGGGGAAAUGAAUUGUCAUUUUUGAUCUCAGUAUUUAGGGAAGGAGAAUCAUUGAGAAAAACACAUGUGAAAUUUAAAAGAUAAAUUGAGUUCAAGAAAAGACAGGCUAGGAAGGAAUACUUUGUGUUUGAUGUCUUAGAAAUAGUUAAUCCUUUUUCAAAAGAUGGAAAAUGACU
rnacentral:lncRNA from 1 species